CUUCCUGGGACGCACUAAAGGGGCUGGUGUCAAAAACACGCCCGUCGUCCGUCGGCUUCCACGUCAGCCUCUGAUUGGUCAACAAGUCCACCACACCGGAGAAGUUCCUCCCACUGCCGACGGGAAGCUACAAAGCAGGAAACAAACACACGGGAUGUGAUGCUUCUGUGCCUGCCUCCACACAGUCAGCGUCUGAGCCUAAUGGAUCCACAUGAACACAUUCAAAUUGGUUUUCUUGGGGGAAAAAACUUUCGGCAGAAACGUGAAAACCUCGACGCCCGCAGACGCAUCGAACACGGCGACGGCCCCGUCCAGAACUCGAAGAGCCCGCUCCACCUCCAGAGUGAAGUCAACGUGACCUGGUUGAUCCUGUGACCUUUCCAGUCAAAGGUCACCGCCGCUGACUGGAUGGUGAUACCGCGCUCCCGUUCUUGAGCCAUGAAGUCCGUCACAGUGUCGCCGUCGUCCACAUCUGGAAGGAUGAAAGCAACUCGAUGCCUUCUGUCAUCUUUGUUCGCACCCCCCCAUCCUACCAACUCACCUCCCAGCGCUCUGGUGUAGCCCGAGUAGUAAAGCAUCCUCUCCGUGGUCGUCGUCUUUCCCGCGUCGAUGUGGGCCAUGAUGCCGAUGUUGCGGAUCCUAGUAAACGUUUAACAGGUUAUAAGUGUAAAAAAAACACGAUGACACUCCUCAAUACUCGGUGUAAAAAUAAACCCCUUCAU